rnacentral:rRNA from 1 species
UACAGAGGGGGCAAGCGUUGUUCGGAAUUACUGGGCGUAAAGGGCGCGUAGGCGGCCUUCUAAGUCGAACGUGAAAUCCCUGGGCUCAACCCAGGAACUGCGUCCGAGACUGAAAGGCUUGAAUCCGGGAGAGGGAUGUGGAAUUCCAGGUGUAGCGGUGAAAUGCGUAGAUAUCAGGAGGAACACCAAUGGCGAAGGCAGGUCUCUGGGCAUUAACUGACGCUGAGGAGCGAAAGCAUGGGGAGCGAACAGG